UGGCUCAGAUUGAACGCUAGCGGGAUGCCUUACACAUGCAAGUGGAACGGCAGCGCGGACUUCGGUCUGGCGGCGAGUGCCGAACGGGUGAGUAAUAUAUCGGAACGUGCCCAGUAGCGGGGGAUAACUACUCGAAAGAGUAGCUAAUACCGCAUACGCCCUACGGGGGAAAGCAGGGGAUCUUCGGACCUUGCGUUAAUGGAGCGGCUGAUAUCUGAUUAGCUAGUUGGUGAGGUAAAGGCUCACCAAGGCGACGAUCAGUAGCUGGUCUGAGAGGACGACCAGCCACACUGGAACUGAGACACGGUCCAGACUCCUACGGGAGGCAGCAGUGGGGAAUUUUGGACAAUGGGCGCAAGCCUGAUCCAGCCAUUCCGCGUGAGUGAAGAAGGCCUUCGGGUUGUAAAGCUCUUUCGCAAGGGAAGAAAACUUACUUUUUAAUAAAGAGUGAGGUUGACGGUACCUUGAUAAGAAGCACCGGCUAACUACGUGCCAGCAGCCGCGGUAAUACGUAGGGUGCGAGCGUUAAUCGGAAUUACUGGGCGUAAAGCGUGCGCAGGCGGUUUUGUAAGUCAGAUGUGAAAUCCCCGAGCUCAACUUGGGAACUGCGUUUGAAACUAUAAGACUAGAAUAUGUCAGAGGGGGGUAGAAUUCCACGUGUAGCAGUGAAAUGCGUAGAGAUGUGGAGGAAUACCAAUGGCGAAGGCAGCCCCCUGGGAUAAUAUUGACGCUCAUGCACGAAAGCGUGGGGAGCAAACAGGAUUAGAUACCCUGGUAGUCCACGCCCUAAACGAUGUCUACUAGUUGUUGGUGGAGUAAAAUCCAUGAGUAACGCAGCUAACGCGUGAAGUAGACCGCCUGGGGAGUACGGUCGCAAGAUUAAAACUC
rnacentral:rRNA from 1 species